rnacentral:rRNA from 1 species
GACGAACGCUGGCGGCGUGCUUAACACAUGCAAGUCGAACGGAAAGGCCCUGCUUUUGUGGGGUGCUCGAGUGGCGAACGGGUGAGUAACACGUGAGUAACCUGCCCUUGACUUUGGGAUAACUUCAGGAAACUGGGGCUAAUACCGGAUAGGAGCUCCUGUUGCAUGGUGGGGGUUGGAAAGUUUCGGCGGUUGGGGAUGGACUCGCGGCUUAUCAGCUUGUUGGUGGGGUAGUGGCUUACCAAGGCAUUGACGGGUAGCCGGCCUGAGAGGGUGACCGGCCACAUUGGGACUGAGAGACGGCCCAGACUCCUACGGGAGGCAGCAGUGGGGAAUAUUGCACAAUGGGCGGAAGCCUGAUGCAGCAACGCCGCGUGCGGGAUGACGGCCUUCGGGUUGUAAACCGCUUUCGCCUGUGACGAAGCGUGAGUGACGGUAAUGGGUAAAGAAGCACCGGCUAACUACGUG